UACGUAGGGUGCGAGCGUUAAUCGGAAUUACUGGGCGUAAAGCGUGCGCAGGCGGUUCGUUGUGUCGGCGGUGAAAGCCCCGGGCUUAACCUGGGAACUGCGUUUGAAACUGCAAGGCUAGAGUAUGGGAGAGGGAGGUAGAAUUCCACGUGUAGCAGUGAAAUGCGUAGAGAUGUGGAGGAAUACCAAUGGCGAAGGCAGCCUCCUGGCCUAAUACUGACGCUCAUGCACGAAAGCGUGGGGAGCAAACAGG
rnacentral:rRNA from 1 species